rnacentral:rRNA from 1 species
UACAGAGGUGGCAAGCGUUGUUCGGAAUUACUGGGCGUAAAGGGCGCGUAGGCGGCCUACUAAGUCAGACGUGAAAUCCCCCGGCUUAACCUGGGAACUGCGUCUGAUACUGGAAGGCUUGAGGAUGGGAGAGGGAUGUAGAAUUCCAGGUGUAGCGGUGAAAUUCGUAGAUAUUCGCAAGAACACCAGUGGCGAAGGCGGCUCACUGGCCCGAUACUGACGCUGAGGUGCGGAAAGCGUGGGAGCAACAGGG